UACGGGGGGGGGCAAGCGUUGUUCGGAAUUACUGGGCGUAAAGGGCUUGUAGGCGGCCAACUAAGUCAAACGUGAAAUCCCUCGGCUUAACCGGGGAACUGCGCUUGAUACUGGAUGGCUUGAGAUUGGGAGAGGAUGCGGAAUUCCAGGUGUAGCGGUGAAAAUGCGUAGAUAUCUGGAGGAACACCGGUGGCGAAGGCGGCAUCUGGACCAACACUGACGCUGAGGAGCGAAAAGCCAGGGGAGCAACGGG
rnacentral:rRNA from 1 species